rnacentral:rRNA from 1 species
CACGUAGGGCGCAAGCGUUGUCCGGAAUUAUUGGGCGUAAAGAGCUCGUAGGCGGUCUGUUGCGUCCGCUGUGAAAACCCGGGGCUUAACCCUGGGCUGGCAGUGGAUACGGACAGACUAGAGGUAGGUAGGGGAGAAUGGGAAUUCCCGGUGUAGCGGUGAAAUGCGCAGAUAUCGGGAGGAACACCGGUGGCGAAGGCGGUUCUCUGGGCCGUACCUGACGCUGAGGAGCGAAAGCGUGGGGGAGCGAACAGG